AAUAGCCUAGAAAUCCUAGUUUCACAUUGCAAAAAUACAUGUUAAGUAUGUCAGUGUAUGAAAUAAUCAACAAAUUAAGAUCAGGGGAACAAAAGUAGCCUGCAGUUUUCUGACUCACGCAUUGAAUGCCUUCGCAGUAUCCGGUGUCUGCCAGUUGUUCACAUCAGGUCUUUACUGCUGUGGUGUGUUGGUCUGUUUGAGGAACUGAAGCUCAGAGAAUGCAUGUAUUUUUCCCAUUCUUCCAUGUCUGUUAAGUACCAGAAGCAAAUUCAGACAUAGCUAUCCCUCCAGGUUGACUCCAAAAUCUGUCUCCUAGGGAUGAAUUUCAGCUCUUCAAAACCAUAAGCCCAAACAAGCCUUUGCUCCGUUAAGUUGUUCUUGAGUUCUGGACCAUGAUGGCCUGAAAGUAGCCGAUACAGACACGUCACUCACAGACAUAACUAAGGCAGGCAUCACCACUGGCACCUGUCUGGGGUCUCAACAAACUCUCAAAGUAAGAUGUUGUGCUGUGCUGACUAAGUUUGAGUUGAAAAUGAAGCAAGAUCUUUCUGGUUUACCCUGGCCUCUCCAUACUCCCCUGAAGUUGUGGCGAAAAUUGGAUUCUUUUCCUCCAAAAUGACCCAUAGCAAACUCCCCACAACUGCCACGUCUUCAGCAACCUGCCACGUCUUCAGCAACUGCCACGUCUUCAUCAAACUGCCACGUCUUCAGCAAACUGCCACGUCUUCAUCAAACUGCCACGUCUUC